GAUCAUGACCUGAGCCAAAGUUGGAUGCUCAAUUGAUUGAGCCACCCAGUUUCACUCCUUCAGAAUCUUCUCUGUACCCCCAAAGGCUGACAUCUAGGGGUUGCCUCAAGAGAUGACCUGUCCUCUGACUACUGGAUGGAAGUCCAAUAGGAAGCUUCUGCAAUAGGUUAGAGGGCAGGAAGAGAAUGAGAUGGGGUAUUCAUUCCCUGUAUUAGCUAGUCUUCGAAGGUAUCCCCCAACAAUUCCUUCCUUGUAUAUACAUAUCACUCUUGCUAUCAAGAGUUAGAGAUUAUUUCUGUUCUCCUUGAAUCUGUGCUGGCCCAUGACUAGCUUCUACAAAUAGAAUGUAGCAGAAGGGCAAUUCGAGACUUCCAAACUCAGACCAAAGAGAACUGGAAGCUUCUAUUUGCUGCCUCUUGGAAUUUAGCCACCAUGGUAUAAGAAGCCCAGGAUAGAUAGAAGCCCAAGAUAGAUGGAAGAAUCACAAAAAUGAGAAUCAAGCACUCUAGCUAUAUCAGGCACUUAUUGACAGCCAUCUGAGUGAGUCAUUGUGGUAGCUAGUCACCAAUAUGGCACCCAAUGAAGGUUGUUUCCCAAGCUUUGGGAUGGUUUGUUUUGCAAUAAUAGAUAGCCAAAACAGAAAUUGGUACCUAGAGAGUAAUGUGCUGCUGUAACAAAAACCUUAAACAUGUGGCAUUGGCUUUGGGAUAAGGGAUCUCACAGAGGUGAUCAAUGGAGGCCUGUAAGACAGUGAAGAAAUUGUUGAGCCUGGAGCAAAGGAGGUUUAAGCAGAAAUCUUCUCUUUCUCCUGCCUUCUUGCAAAUUCAUCUUAUCUCUGGAAAGAGAAAGUUGGAGAAUCCCAGGUUGGAAUACAGACUGUGAUGAAAGAAUCCGACUGUAUUAUAAGUGUAUGAAUAAAACUUCAAAGAAGGACAUAGAGAGGAAAGGUGCUAUGUAAAGAGCUGGAAAUAAGUGGAGCCUAUAAUACUUAAGUGAAAUGGAAUUAUGAUAACAAAUGGCAUAAGGACAAUACUUUAUGCUGGUAAUUAAAUGGAAGACUACAUAGAAUUCCAUGUUGCUCAGGAAGAUCUGGAUUUAAUAAAAUGGAGGCCUACUGAAGAAGAUUUAGAUAUAUCAGUUAUUAAUUCCCUUAUAUAGAUAUUACUACAUAUGUUUCUACUAGGGUUCUUCUCAUUAGAAGGUACAGAGCUCUAGAGUCAGGACUGUGGGUUUUGAAAUAACCCAUCCUGCAUCCAUAAACAACUUGCCUUGAUGGCUAGCCAAGACUUUGUCCUGCCACAGACCUCCUCCUACUUUCAUUUCUUACCCCAAGGAGCAGUAAACAUGAAUCCUGACCCACUAAUGGAGCCCCAGAACUGAGAAGAGAUACAUUGCUGCUAAACAGGUAGAAAUAAAAACAAUGCCUCUCUUUGAUAAUAUUAAAUGUGCUGGGAAGACAGUCUCCAAGAGAAAGGAUAAAUAAUCUACAUAAUGAAGAAUUAGUUAGCAGUGUUAUGUAAAUAUUGUAGCAGCAUCAAUGAGGAGGAUUAUUUUUGCACCUUUGGAAAGCAACUGAAAAAAGAAGCUUGGAAAAAAUCCUGCCUAACAAAGCAGCCAUACUCAAAUAGCUAAAACUAUAAGAAAGAACUGAUUGAAGAUACAAGAAUAGAUUUAAGAUGUAAGAUUAAAACAUGAUAAAAAAUGA